rnacentral:rRNA from 1 species
UACGUAGGUGGCAAGCGUUAUCCGGAAUUAUUGGGCGUAAAGCGCGCGCAGGUGGUUUCUUAAGUCUGGUGUGAAAGCCCACGGCUCAACCGUGGAGGGUCAUUGGAAACUGGGAGACUUGAGUGCAGAAGAGGAAAGUGGAAUUCCAUGUGUAGCGGUGAAAUGCGUAGAGAUAUGGAGGAACACCAGUGGCGAAGGCGACUUUCUGGUCUGUAACUGACACUGAGGCGCGAAAGCGUGGGGAGCAAACAGG